CAGUGGGCUAGCUUGGACAACGUCGAAGAAAAUUCGGAAGGCGUUGCUCAUAAGAGUUAAAAAUAGGAUCUUUCUAUCAUCCGUAGUAUAGUUGAAAAGAAGCCAAGACAAAUAUAGACCGUUCAUCCCGUACAGCCUCUCAAGUUACUACGUAGUUACAUAAUUCUUUUGCUUUUACAAUGCAUCCAGCAAAUACACAGAAAUGCCAGCUAGUUAGAAAUCCAAUCAAGAGAAGGACUAGAACAUCGCAAAGAUUUAUUAAAAUCCAGCAGCACAUGUAACAAUUUAAACACACAGAUUGGAAAGCAAAUAAUAACUUUCAACCACGGAGUGGCUAACAGCCA